rnacentral:rRNA from 1 species
AGUGAACGCUGGCGGUAGGCCUAACACAUGCAAGUCGAACGAGUGGCGGACGGGUGGGGAAUACAUCGGAAUCUACUCUGUCGUGGGGGAUCACGUAGGGACACUUACUCUAAUACCGCCUACGAUUGAAUGCGCCGCUGUCGGAUUAGCUAGUUGGCGGGGUAAAGGCACACCAAGGAGACGAUCCGUAGCUGGUCUGAGAGGCUGAUUGGCCAAACUGGAACGGAGACACGGUCCAGACUCCUACGGGAGGAAGCAGUGGGGAAUAUUGGACAAUGGGCGCAAGCCUGAUCCAGCCAUACCGCGGGGGUGAAGAAGGCCUUCGGGUUGUAAAGCCCUUUUGUUGGGAAAGCGGUACCCAAAGACUAAGCACCGGCUAACUUCGUGCCAGCCGCCGCGGUAAUAC